AAUUGCCUUACUAAAUUAAAUUUAUGUUCAAGUGCUAUUUCUUUAUGGCACUGGGGAACAAGCAUUUCAAACACAAUGAAUGAGAAAAAAAUAAACUGCCCACUGCCAUCUUCAGGACUUACUCCUUCCAGUUAAAAAUGUUGGUCCAAAGAAAAGAGGAAAAAAAAAAAAAAGAAUAGAUUGUAUUUAUGCUGUGUUGUCGGUCAGACAACACACAUGUGCUAUGUAAUCUACGGUUUCCUAGGACUUGUGUGUUGAGGAAAAGAUGGUGGCAGAAUGAGAAUUACAGACCAAGGAAAAGCAAAAGUGUGAAGGCCUUGAGCGAGGAGGAGCAUGAAACUUCAGAAAUGAAACGCAACAUAUUCACAGUUGAGAAAGGGACUUUUAGGAUACAGACAACUUUGGAGGGCCAUUAUUCUGCCUGCCACAGAGAUAUCAUCCAUAAGUGACUCGUCUCUAAAAAUUAAAGAUAGAAAAUGGAGUUGAUGCAGGAAAAAUAAGAAAUCGAUGUCAUGGAUAAAGACGACUUCUCCUGGUCUCGUUUCUCUAAGCAAAACAACUCAGUAGCUCAAGAGACUAGGUAAGGCCUCCUACCCAGCAUUUUGUGGCAGAUUUUAGAUUGCUUAUUCAGCUCAUCCUUUUUCCUACUUCUAUUUCAUCCGUCUCCCCUCUCUCCUUUCUGCAAGGAAAUAAAAUGUAUUCCAA
rnacentral:lncRNA from 1 species